ACCCAUUCUCACUCCAAAGGCGUCAAAAACCGAAGCAUGGUCAAGCGCCCCUAGCGUCACUUUUAUGGCGCCAAAUGUGCCUCUCGGCGUCGAAUAUCGAAGCACUACGACCUUCAUUGCUUUCAAUGGGAAACUUUUGGCGUCAGAAUUCGACACGAGGACAUUAGAUGUUUAUCGCUAUGAAAUCACGUUCAAGAAGUCUCAUUCAGCACACAUCGCGAUACUUGCUAUCAGUUCCACAGUUUGGCUGAAAAGACAUAAAGGCAGUCAGCCCAGUGGUGUUUCUGGAGAGGGAUUCCUUCAGAAAUGGAGAAGACAGAAAGCUGCGGAGGCAGAUAUAUGCAGCAGUCUAAAAUAUCAAGCUCAACAACUCACUCAAGAGCCAACCCUCACAAACCUUCCUAAAAACUAAAAGAGCUAUUACUGAGUCUCAGCGAAUCUUGCCAUGAUCAGCUCUUCCCAGAAGAGAAGGAAGACCAAGGAAAUGAUUUGCUCAGGAUGAGGAAUGAAGAUGGCCAUCUUGUG